CCUACGGGUGGCAGCAGUGGGGAAUAUUGGUCAAUGGCCGGAAGGCUGAACCAGCCAUGCCGCGUGAAGGUCAGUGCCCUAUGGGCUUUAAACUUCUUUUGUGCGGGAGCAAUAAUGGUCACGUGUGACCAAGCGAGAGUACCGUACGAAUAAGCAUCAGCUAACUCCGUGCCAGCAGCCGCGGUAAUACGGGGGAUGCAAGCGUUAUCCGGAUUUAUGGGGUUUAAAGGGUGCGUAGGCUGUGAGGUAAGGCAGCGGUGAAAGGCCCCCGCUCAACGGGGUGAAGUGCCAUUGAUACUGCCGUGCUGGAAUGCGGAUGCGGUGGGAGGAAUGUGUGGUGUAGCGGUGAAAUGCAUAGAUAUCAGACAGAACACCGAUUGCGAAGGCAUCUCACGAAUCCGCGAUUGACGCUGAUGCACGAAAGCGUGGGUAUCAAACAGGAUUAGAUACCCGGGUAGUC
rnacentral:rRNA from 1 species